rnacentral:rRNA from 1 species
AGAUAUAGGCCAUACCACGCUGGACACACCUGAUCUCAUGUGAUCUCGGAAGCUAAGCAGGGUCGGGCCUGGUUAGUACUUGGAUGAGAGAUAUAGGCAUAGGUACUGUCUUUC